rnacentral:rRNA from 1 species
AGCAGCCGCGGUAAUUCCAGCUCCAAUAGCGUAUAUUAAAGUUGUUGCAGUUAAAAAGCUCGUAGUUGAAUUUCGGGAUCAAGUCGUCGGUCGUGCCUCGGUACGCACUGGUGACAUUGGUUUCUCCCUUCUGAAGAACCUUGAUGUCAUUAAUUUGGUGUCUUGGGGAAUCAGGACUGUUACUUUGAAAAAAUUAGAGUGUUUAAAGCAGGCUCACGCUUGAAUACAUUAGCAUGGAAUAAUGAAAUAGGACGUUUGAUUCUAUUUUGUUGGUUUCUAGGAUCGACGUAAUGAUUAAUAGGGAUAGUUGGGGGCAUUAGUAUUCAAUUGUCAGAGGUGAAAUUCUUGGAUUUAUUGAAGACUAACUACUGCGAAAGCAUUUGCCAAGGAUGUUUUCAUUAAUCAAGAACGAAAGUUAGGGGAUCGAAGACGAUCAGAUACCGUCGUAGUCUUAACCAUAAACUAUGCCGACUAGGGAUCGGAUGAUGUUAAUUUUUUAAUGACUCAUUCGGCGCCUUAC